GUUUGUUUGGCUUUUUUUUUUUUUUUUUUUUUUUUUUUGAGACAGGAUCUUGCUCUGUGGCCCAGGCUGGAGUGCAGUGGAGAUAUCUCAGCUUACAGCAACCUCCGCCUCCCAGGCUCAAGCCAUCCUCACCUCAGCCUCCCAAGUAGCUGGGAUGCACCACCGCGCCCAGCUAAUUUUUGUAUUUUUGGGGUAGAGACGGUAUUUCGCCAUGUUGCCCAUCUGGUCUCCAACUCCUAGGCUCAAGCGAUCCUCCUGCCUCAGUCUCCCAAAGUGCUACGAUUAGAAGUGUGAGCCACCACACCCAGCUGGUUACUUUUUUUAGUGCAAAAAUUGAGUCAUGCUAUAUAAACAUCACUUGUUUUUUACCUUUUAUAUGUACUACAUCACUUUGAAAAUGUGAUGACAUUGACCCUUUUCCCCAGAAAAAUGAACAUUCUCACUAAAUUCUGUAGAUAAUUUCUCGGCAUUCAUGAACUACAUGAAGCCAUUCAUGGGCAAGGACUCCAGGCUAAGAACCCUGGUAGCUUUUUUCAAAAUUUUCAAAAAUUUAACUCCUGGGCUCCUUCCAUCUUAUCCCCAGCAUCUGAACACCUCUCCGUGCCAAUAACUGUUUCCAACACCAUAUUCUUCUAAUGGCUGUGUUAUGUUCUGCUUUAUGGAGUCCUAUAACUUUCAAUAAAAGUGAUCACCAUGUUCCAUGAAUUACCCCUGCAAUUCAUCCUUACGGCAGCCCGUGGAAGUGUUCCCGUUUUACAGAUAAAGCUCAGCGGCGUUAUGACAGCCGCCAUGUGGCAGAUCCAGGAUUGAAAAAAAGGUCUGUCCAACUCCUAAUGCCGCAUUCUUCACUUCCAGACUCUCCUUGUUUAUUGAAGCCUUUCUGCGUGAGUCAAUCUCUCCAAAUAUGCCUGGUGCCACUGUAAGCCGCACCAUGGACCGAUCCCUUCCUUUGGGCCUUCUCCCUGAACCUCUCCAAGGGAGAAUCUGUGCUGUCUCUUCAGGAACUGGGUUAAGGAUGGCUGGGGUUCUCAGGAACUGUGUUGUCUGGCCCCCAGAAAGCUCUGGGUGUGGGCCCUUCCCCCCAAGCCUCCUGAAGCUCUGGAGAAGCCUCCUGGGGCCUGGCUGAUUGGGGUUUCCUGGAAUCGUGUUGGCGAGGAGGAGGGAGCCGGCCAGAAAAUGAUUUCACAUCAGUCAUGAUGGGUACCCAGGAAAUACUCAUUGAAUGAAAUCACCAAAGACCAAGAAGCAGCAGCUAAAAUGUAGAGGUGAGAGGAUAAAGAAGAAAGAAAGGAGAAACAGUGGAGGAUGUACAAAGAGAAGGGGGUAGGAAGAGGAUCCCUUUAGCCUUGCUUGAAAUCUUGCUAGAGUUGGGAGGGGAGGGACAAAAGCUGCUGGGAAACAGCUAAAAACGGAACGAAUCCCUAGGGCCAGUGCCCAGCCCAAGUCUGUCUUCUCUCCCUCUCCACCCCUCAGGGUCAGGAGCAGCUGCAGGCAGCCAGCAGCUCCAAAAUAACCAUCCCAUCAGUGAGCCCAGCUGUGUCGAAGCCCUGAAAUAGAUGAAACUCGAGACACAGGAGCUGGUUAGAACACCCUCCGCAGAAGGGACGGCAAAGGUCACAGUUGAGUGAGCUGAUACCAAGUUAGAGGUCAGGGCAGUGUUUGGGGCCCCAAGCCAUGGGAGAACACCAUGGGACCAACCUCGGCCCAAGACUGCACCACUUGAUGGGUAAGGCUUAGAAAAACCAGAUGGGCAACCUCUCACCCCAAGCAGUGGGGUGGCCCCACAUUCGGAAGCAACAAGUUACAUAAUCGGUGCCGGGACACGUGCCCACCUGCUUUGGAGGUGUUUAUGAUGGGAACAGAGAUGGCACAAGGCCAUGAGGAGAAGCCGCUAAGCUGACUACCCUUGCAUGUCCCAUCAUUCAGGAAAGAACCUGUCAGUCUUCAGCUCUUGCCUGUUCUGGUGCCCGGCAGUGGCUCUACCAACACCCUGGGCCAGAGCAAAAAUAAGCAGACCCUGCCAGGGCAGGGAGGUCCCGGCCAUGUGUUUCCCCUCCUCUAGGUGGUGCUGGGGGCCCUACUCACUGACCUACUGUGUGCCCAGCCCUGGGCAGGGAGUCUGGGAGAGGGAGGAGCCAGGAACUGGGCCCUGGGAGCCAAGAGUCAGUGGAAGGGGCAAGGCUUAAAGGCAGGACAU